UGCUAACGUCCGUCGUGAAGAGGGAAACAACCCAGACCGCCAGCUAAGGUCCCAAAGUCAUGGUUAAGUGGGAAACGAUGUGGGAAGGCCCAGACAGCCAGGAUGUUGGCUUAGAAGCAGCCAUCAUUUAAAGAAAGCGUAAUAGCUCACUGGUCGAGUCGGCCUGCGCGGAAGAUGUAACGGGGCUAAACCAUGCACCGAAGCUGCGGCAGCGACACUAUGUGUUGUUGGGUAGGGGAGCGUUCUGUAAGCCUGUGAAGGUGUACUGUGAGGUAUGCUGGAGGUAUCAGAAGUGCGAAUGCUGACAUAAGUAACGAUAAAGCGGGUGAAAAGCCCGCUCGCCGGAAGACCAAGGGUUCCUGUCCAACGUUAAUCGGGGCAGGGUGAGUCGACCCCUAAGGCGAGGCCGAAAGGCGUAGUCGAUGGGAAACAGGUUAAUAUUCCUGUACUUGGUGUUACUGCGAAGGGGGGACGGAGAAGGCUAUGUUGGCCGGGCGACGGUUGUCCCGGUUUAAGCGUGUAGGCUGGUUUUCCAGGCAAAUCCGGAAAAUCAAGGCUGAGGCGUGAUGACGAGGCACUACGGUGCUGAAGCAACAAAUGCCCUGCUUCCAGGAAAAGCCUCUAAGCAUCAGGUAACAUCAAAUCGUACCCCAAACCGACACAGGUGGUCAGGUAGAGAAUACCAAGGCGCUUGAGAGAACUCGGGUGAAGGAACUAGGCAAAAUGGUGCCGUAACUUCGGGAGAAGGCACGCUGAUAUGUAGGUGAAGUCCCUCGCGGAUGGAGCUGAAAUCAGUCGAAGAUACCAGCUGGCUGCAACUGUUUAUUAAAAACACAGCACUGUGCAAACACGAAAGUGGACGUAUACGGUGUGACGCCUGCCCGGUGCCGGAAGGUUAAUUGAUGGGGUUAGCGGUAACGCGAAGCUCUUGAUCGAAGCCCCGGUAAACGGCGGCCGUAACUAUAACGGUCCUAAGGUAGCGAAAUUCCUUGUCGGGUAAGUUCCGACCUGCACGAAUGGCGUAAUGAUGGCCAGGCUGUCUCCACCCGAGACUCAGUGAAAUUGAACUCGCUGUGAAGAUGCAGUGUACCCGCGGCAAGACGGAAAGACCCCGUGAACCUUUACUAUAGCUUGACACUGAACAUUGAGCCUUGAUGUGUAGGAUAGGUGGGAGGCUUUGAAGUGUGGACGCCAGUCUGCAUGGAGCCGGCCUUGAAAUACCACCCUUUAAUGUUUGAUGUUCUAACGUUGGCCCCUGAUCGGGGUUGCGGACAGUGUCUGGUGGGUAGUUUGACUGGGGCGGUCUCCUCCUAAAGAGUAACGGAGGAGCACGAAGGUUGGCUAAUCCUGGUCGGACAUCAGGAGGUUAGUGCAAUGGCAUAAGCCAGCUUGACUGCGAGCGUGACGGCGCGAGCAGGUGCGAAAGCAGGUCAUAGUGAUCCGGUGGUUCUGAAUGGAAGGGCCAUCGCUCAACGGAUAAAAGGUACUCCGGGGAUAACAGGCUGAUACCGCCCAAGAGUUCAUAUCGACGGCGGUGUUUGGCACCUCGAUGUCGGCUCAUCACAUCCUGGGGCUGAAGUAGGUCCCAAGGGUAUGGCUGUUCGCCAUUUAAAGUGGUACGCGAGCUGGGUUUAGAACGUCGUGAGACAGUUCGGUCCCUAUCUGCCGUGGGCGCUGGAGAACUGAGGGGGGCUGCUCCUAGUACGAGAGGACCGGAGUGGACGCAUCACUGGUGUUCGGGUUGUCAUGCCAAUGGCACUGCCCGGUAGCUAAAUGCGGAAGAGAUAAGUGCUGAAAGCAUCUAAGCACGAAACUUGCCCCGAGAUGAGUUCUCCCUGACUCUUUAAGGGUCCUGAAGGAACGUUGAAGACGACGACGUUGAUAGGCCGGGUGUGUAAGCGCAGCGAUGCGUUGAGCUAACCGGUACUAAUGAACCGUGAGGCUUAACCUU
rnacentral:rRNA from 1 species